CGAAGGGGGCAAGCGUUGUUCGGAUUUACUGGGCGUAAGGGGCGCGCAGGCGGCGCGUCAAGUCGGGUGUGAAAGCCCCGGGCUCAACCUGGGAACUGCACUCGAGACUGACGCGCUAGAGUUCGGGAGAGGAUGGCGGAAUUCCCAGUGUAGAGGUGAAAUUCGUAGAUAUUGGGAAGAACACCGGUGGCGAAGGCGGCCAUCUGGACCGAGACUGACGCUGAGGCGCGAAAGCGUGGGGAGCAAACAGGAUUAGAUACCCUGGUAGUCCACGCCGUAAACGAUGUGUGCUAGACGUCGGGAAGCCUAGCUUUCCGGUGUCGCAGCCAACGCUUUAAGCACACCGCCUGGGGAGUACGGCCGCAAGGUUA
rnacentral:rRNA from 1 species